GCCGGGUACAGUGGCGCCUACCUGUAGUCCCAGCUACUGGGGAGGCUGAGGCUGGGAGAUCGCUUGAGCCCAGGAGUUCUGGGCUGUAGUUCGCUAUGCCAAUCAGGUGUCCACACUAAGUUUGGCAUCACGAUGGUGGCCUCCCCAGAGCAGGGGACCACCAGGUUGCCUAGGGAGGGGUGAACCGGCCCAGGUCGGAAAUGGAGCAGGUCAAAACUCCGUGCUGAUCAGUAGUGGGAUCGUGCCUGUGAACAGCCACUGCACUCCAGCUUGGGCAACAUAGCGAGAUCCCGUCUCUA
ensembl:misc_RNA Metazoa_SRP Metazoan signal recognition particle RNA